ensembl:snRNA U6 U6 spliceosomal RNA
GUGCUCACUUCAGCAGCCUACAUAUUAAAACUGGAACAAUACGGAGCAGAUUAACAUGGCCCCUAUACAAGGAGAUAUAUGUAUAUACUUGUUUAUAAAUAUUUCU